UAGAUGUGUGAGUAGAGUGUGUGCAUUUACUGGACACUUAUUGAAUCGAAAGCUGUUUUGUGCGUGUAAUGUAGUCUAUUCACUGGUGACUGAUAGUUGAGAAGAAAGAGAUGAAACAUUUAACAACAUUUAACAUCUUUUAACAUCUGCUCAUAUCAUAUUUUGUCUUAAAAGGAUAGUUCACCCAAAAAUUUAAAUUAUUCCAUGAUUUACUCACCCUCAAGCCAUCCUAGGUGUAUAUGACUAUCUUCUUUCAGACGGACACAAUCGGAAAUAUAUUUAAAAAUAUCCUUAGUCCUCCAAGGUUUAUAAUGGAAGUGAAUGGUAGCCCAAAUUCUGAAGACAGAAAAAGUGCAUCCAUCCAUAAAAAAAAAAAAAAAGUAAUCCAUACGACUCCAGAGGGUUAAUAAAGGCCUUCUGAAGUGAAGCGAUGCGUUUUUGUAAGAAAAAUAACCAUAUUGGGUGGAAGAGCAACCUUUGACCCCAUGCAAUGAUGAACACGGAGGCACAGAGGAGAGAGCAAAACAAAACACCGGUCACGAAUUAGAAGUCUAAAACGAGGAAUUUUAAAGAGAAAUGUCAAAGGAUUUCGAUAUAAGAGAAGAGGAGCUUGAGUUUGUUGCACAGCCCUAUUUGUUUGAACCGUGAGAGGCGUCUAAGCUUACGAUACUCCUACAUCCUGUGUCACACAUCGCGUCACGGGUUACUCAUUUGCCGCAAGUCAGCUUGCGCAUACUGCGUGCGGUCGUCCACCGGAAGCUAGUUUUUUUUAAUUUAUAAAGUUUUAAAUAUGGAUAUUUUUCUUACAAAAAUACAUCCCUUCGCUUCAAAAGGCCUUUAUUAACCCUCUGGAGUCGUAUAAUUUUUUUAUGGAUGGAUGCAUUUUUUCUUCAGAAUUUGGGCUACCAUUCACAUCCAUUAUAAACCUUUGAGGACUAAGGAUAUUUUUUAAUAUACCUAGGAUUGUGUUCGUCUGAAAGAAGGGAGUCAUAUAAACCUAGGAGGAUGGCUUGAGGGUUGGGACCUCCCGGUGCGUUGAGUAAGCUGACUUCCCCUGCUGCUCUUGUGUGGCCCAGACUGCCGUGUGCUGCGACUGUGGUCUGUUGUUACGAGCUGUACGCUGUUACCUGCUCCAACACCUCGUCAACUUCCAGAGGCACAUUCAAUAUUGAACACGCAGCAGGACGCUGGUUUCUGCAGUCGCGCUGAUGUUAGAGAUGAGUGCUGUGAGCGAGACCUUCGCUCUCCAGAGAGACACACUUCAGCCUCACAGCUCUUAUCCGAGACGCGCUGGACGCAGCGCCGACUGCUCACUCCCCAAACACCUGAAAUGCCACGCCGCAUCUUAUGGAAUGUUCUGGAGAAAACAGGAAUAGCAGAUGGCUUGUGAAACAUGAUGGAAUGAAAAUAAAUAUCACGCUUCGAUGCCGAUGAAGUUAAUACACUUGACGUCCUGCUGCUUUUACGUGAAGAUGAAUAUGACAACACAAACUAAUCAAAAGUCAUUUUUUGCUUAAAAGACUUCAAUCUGAAUAAAAUCACAGAGAUCAUACUGUCUUAACACAAUCACAUAAUAGAGUUACCAGAUUAACAUUUUACACAAGAACAAAACGUCAUGGAAUAACAUAUAACAUGACUUUACUGAAUAAUUCAUGCAAGUUCUUUAACAAACUUCACAUUUCUGACUUUUAAAGUCAACAUGAAACUGCAUUUUGCUUCUGUAUUAUUAUGCAUUGCUGAAUGAAACAGUAAAAACAAAUACGUAGAAUGGGACUUGAUUUUAUCAUGGUGAAUUUAUUGGAUGUUGAAAAGUAUGACAGGAGAUUGAAAAAUAAGAAGGAGUGACGACAAGAAGGUCAUUUUAGAGGAGGGGUCAGCAACAUUUUGAAAUGUUUUCUCCUUCACAUUAAAUUUAGCAUGAAAGGGAAGGUGCGGUAGCCUUUUCUUCCCUUUUGUGCAGUAUACAUGAGUGAAACGGCUUCUGGAAUAAGAACAAAUUUGGGGGCGGGGCUUGAUUUUGUUCGUGGUGAAUUGAUUGGAUUGUGGUGGUUUGCUACUGGUGGAUCUCAUGUGAGUGACAGGUUGCCCCGCCCUCGUCAUCAGAGAAGAGAUGUCGCUGAGAGAGGGAGGGGAAGUUAUUCUGAUUCAAGAUUAUGAGACACAUGAAUUUAAAACAAUAACCGAUAAAUCAUUUCAAAUAAACACUGCAAUAUUCUAUUAAAAAAAUUUGAAUUGUCCAUUUUG